rnacentral:tRNA from 1 species
UGGGCCCUAAAAAGCCCUAAGAA